UUAGAGUUUGAUCCUGGCUCAGGAUGAACGCUAGCGGGAGGCUUAACACAUGCAAGUCGAGGGGUAACAGAGGUAGCAAUACUUGCUGACGACCGGCGUACGGGUGAGUAACGCGUAUGCAACCUGCCCUAUACAGGAGGAUAGCCCGAAGAAAUUCGGAUUAAUACUCCAUGCAGCAUAUUUUUCGCAUGAUAAAUAUGUUAAAGAUUUAUCGGUAUAGGAUGGGCAUGCGUCCCAUUAGUUAGUUGGUGAGGUAAUGGCUCACCAAGGCUUCGAUGGGUAUGGGGUCUAAAAGGAUGGUCCCACACACUGGCACUGAGACACGGGCCAGACUCCUACGGGAGGCAGCAGUGAGGAAUAUUGGUCAAUGGGCGAGAGCCUGAACCAGCCAUCCCGCGUGCAGGAUGACAGUCCUAGUGAUUGUAAACUGCUUCUCUAUAAGAUGAAUAAGGACUACGUGUAGUUCGAUGACCGUAUUAUAGGAAUAAGCAUCGGCUAACUCCGUGCCAGCAGCCGCGGUAAUACGGAGGAUGCAAGCGUUAUCCGGAUUUAUUAGGUUUAAAGGGUGCGUAGGUGGGCGUUUAAGUCAGUGGUUAAAGCCAAUAGCUUAACUAUUGUAUGCCAUUGAAACUGGAUGUCUUGAAUAGGGUAGAGGUAGGCGGAAUGUGUUGUGUAGCGGUGAAAUGCUUAGAUAUAACACAGAACACCGAUUGCGAAGGCAGCUUACUAUGCCUUUAUUGACACUGAUGCACGAAAGCGUGGGGAUCAAACAGGAUUAGAUACCCUGGUAGUCCACGCUGUAAACGAUGAUCACUCGUUUUUGGCAAUACCUCGUCAGAAACUAAGCGA
rnacentral:rRNA from 1 species